rnacentral:ribozyme from 1 species
AAAAGGAAAAGGAAAUUUAAAAAAAAAAAAAAAAAAAAAAAAAAAAAAUGUUUAGGUUUUUGGAAAAGGUUAAGUGUCAAAAUCAUUGGAUUAUUGUCCAUGAUUCU